rnacentral:rRNA from 1 species
UACGUAGGGAGCGAGCGUUGUUCGGAAUUACUGGGCGUAAAGCGCGCGUAGGCGGUUUUUCAAGUCAGUGGUGAAAGCCCGGGGCUCAACCCCGGAAUAGCCUUUGAAACUGGAAAACUAGAAUCUUGGAGAGGUCAGUGGAAUUCCGAGUGUAGAGGUGAAAUUCGUAGAUAUUCGGAAGAACACCAGUGGCGAAGGCGGCUCGCUGGACAAGUAUUGACGCUGAGGUGCGAAAGCGUGGGGAGCAAACAGG